rnacentral:rRNA from 1 species
AUUGAACGCUGGCGGCAGGCCUAACACAUGCAAGUCGAGCGAGCGGCGGACGGGUGAGUAAUGUCUGGGGAACUGCCUGAUGGAGGGGGAUAACUACUGGAAACGGUAGCUAAUACCGCAUACUAUCAGAUGUGCCCAGAUGGGAUUAGCUGGUAGGUGGGGUAAUGGCUCACCUAGGCGACGCUACCUAGCUGGCAUGAGAGGAGGACAAGCCAAACUGGAACUGAGACACGGUCCAGACUCCUACGGGAGGCAGCAGUGGGGAAUAUUGCACAAUGGGCGCAAGCCUGAUGCAGCCAUGCCGCGUGUAUGAAGAAGGCCCUCGGGUUGUAAAGUACUUUCAGCGGGGAGGCGUUACCCACAGAAGAAGCACCGGCUAACUCCGUGCCAGCAGCCGCGGUAAUAC